UUGCUUCCGCAGCAUAUAUACUAAAAUUGGAAGGAUACAGAGGAGAUUAGCAUAGCCCCUUCGCAGGGAUAAUUUGUGAAUUCGUGAGGUGUUCCAUAUUUUU